GCAUUGUGUCAAUAAUAAGUGUUGCUGUGAAGAGAACAAUAGUCAGACUGAAUGUUGAACAUCAGCUAGUUUCUCCUGCUGAUUUAAACCUUGUUGGACAGAUGGAACAUUGGCUGUGGAUUAUUCUAGCUGCUCUUUUCUUUGAGUGUAAAGGAGACUCAGUGACGCAGACAGAAGGACAUGUUGCUGCUGCUAAAGGAGAAUCUGUCACUCUGGGAUGUAUUUUUACAACAAGCUAUACAGGUUAUACCUUGUUCUGGUAUAAGUUAGAAGAAAACAGCUUUCCAAAGUACAUGCUAAAGCAACUUUCUUCAACCAAGGAAAAAGCUCCAGAUUUUAACCACAUCAGAUUCAAUGCUGACCUUGACAGUGACAAGAAAUCCUUUAAUCUGACGAUCCAGGAUCUCCGUCUGUCAGACUCUGCUGUGUACUACUGUGCUCUGCAGCCCACAGUGACAGGAAACACCAGAACUCUGUACAAGAACCUGCAGAGCAAAGACAACACGGCACCCAACAAUAUCCACCAAAGAGCCUUACAGUCUAUGAGAUUGAGUCAGGUUAUUACUCUGAAACCAAACAUCAUUUCUAAUUUGUGAACAACUUUAGAUCAACAAAACAUUCCAAGGAAUAACAACAUGCUUGUUUUAACAAGCAACAAAAUUAGAAAACAUAAAGUUGAACAAGAAUUCAUUUAUGGGUCAUUGUCUUUUCGCUCAUCUGAAAUACACACAUGUUACUGUAAAUUUAUGAAUUGUGAAGCAAAAAAAAAACUCAUUGGAAGGAAUAUACUGCUUAGAAUGCCAAGCUGGGAUAAUGCAAGUCAGUUAUGUUAUUUUCUUGCUGCAUUGGGUAACCUUAUAUAUAGAUUUAUGUGGAAAGUAUGCAUCUGUACAAAUUAAAUCAUCCUGUUACAGAU